rnacentral:tRNA from 1 species
AAGUCGAUGAUGUAAUUGGUAACAUGUCGGUCUCCAAAACCGUUUAUCUGGGUUCAAGUCCUAGUCGAUUUGCCA